UGCGUAGGCGGAUUAAUAAGUCAGUGGUGAAAACCCGCAGCUUAACUGUAGACUUGCCAUUGAUACUGUUAGUCUUGAGUACGGUCAAGGUAGGCGGAAUGUGUAAUGUAGCGGUGAAAUGCUUAGAUAUUACACAGAACACCGAUUGCGAAGGCAGCUUACUGGGCCAUUACUGACGCUGAGGCACGAAAGCGUGGGGAGCGAACAGGAUUAGAUACCCUGGUAGUCC
rnacentral:rRNA from 1 species